rnacentral:rRNA from 1 species
CCUACGGGUGGCAGCAGUGGGGAAUAUUGGGCAAUGGGCGCAAGCCUGACCCAGCAACGCCGCGUGAAGGAAGAAGGCUUUCGGGUUGUAAACUUCUUUUGUCAGGGACGAAGCAGGUGACAGUACCUGACGAAUAAGCCACGGCCAACUACGUGCCAGCAGCCGCGGUAAGACGGAGGUGGCAAGCGUUAUGCGGAUUUAUUGGGUGUAAAGGGCGUGUAGGCGGGAAUGGAAGUCAGAUGUGAAAACUACGGGCGCAACCCAUAGCCUGCAUUUGAAACUGGAUUUCUUGAGUGCUGGAGAGGCAAUCGGAAUUCCGGGGGUAGCGGUGAAAUGCGUAGAUAUACGGAGGAACACCAGUGGCGAAGGCGGAUUGCUGGACAGUAACUGACGCUGAGGCGCGAAAGCGUGGGGAGCAAACAGGAUUAGAUACCCUUGUAGUC